AGUGAACGCUGGCGGUAGGCCUAACACAUGCAAGUCGAACGGCAGCACAGUAAGAGCUUGCUCUUACGGGUGGCGAGUGGCGGACGGGUGAGGAAUACAUCGGAAUCUACUUUUUCGUGGGGGAUAACGUAGGGAAACUUACGCUAAUACCGCAUACAACCUACGGGUGAAAGCAGUGGAUCUUCGGACCUUGCGCGAUUGAAUGAGCCGAUGUCGGAUUAGCUAGUUGGCGGGGUAAAGGCCCACCAAGGCGACGAUCCGUAGCUGGUCUGAGAGGAUGAUCAGCCACACUGGAACUGAGACACGGUCCAGACUCCUACGGGAGGCAGCAGUGGGGAAUAUUGGACAAUGGGCGCAAGCCUGAUCCAGCCAUACCGCGUGGGUGAAGAAGGCCUUCGGGUUGUAAAGCCCUUUUGUUGGGAAAGAAAAGCAGCAGGUUAAUACCCCGCUGUUCUGACGGUACCCAAAGAAUAAGCACCGGCUAACUUCGUG
rnacentral:rRNA from 1 species